UUCUUCCCAGGGCGUCAACCCCCCAAACGUCGAACCAGAAGAUGCUCCCAUGGAUUUGCCCGUUGUGACAAAGUCUUCUCACCCAAACAAGGGGAGGUCCUCACAAGUGGUGGAGCCACAGGUGGUAGAUUUGGCUGGGGAUAUGCCACCUCUCAAGAUUGCUGAUGAGGAUGCUAAUAAGAUUGUGCG